rnacentral:sRNA from 1 species
GGUACAUACCUACAGAGUGGUGGCUAGUGAAAAAAAAACUAUAGCCAGGUGUCAAUAUUUUAAUUAAAGUAAUUUGCUAUUAAUACUGAUUUGUAUGUGUAUGUGUGUGUGUGUGUGUGUGUGUGUGUGUGUGUGUGAAGCUGGGGAUUGAACCCAGGGCCUUGUGCAUGUGAAGCAAACACUCUACCA